CGAAGGAUGCAAGCGUUAUCCGGAUUCAUUGGGUUUAAAGGGAGCGUAGGCGGUCUUGUAAGUCAGUGGUGAAAUCUCUCGGCUUAACUGAGAAAUUGCCAUUGAUACUGCAGGACUUGAGUACAGUUGCCGUUGGCGGAAUAUGACAUGUAGUGGUGAAAUACAUAGAGAUGUCAUAGAACACCGAUUGCGAAGGCAGCUAACGAAACUGUAACUGACGCUGAGGCUCGAAAGUGCGGGGAUCAAACAGGAUUAGAUACCCUGGUAGUCCGCACUGUAAACGAUGAUUACUCGCUGCUGGGAGGUAACUUUCAGUGGCUUAGCGAAAGCGAUAAGUAAUCCACCUGGGGAGUACGCCGGCAACGGUG
rnacentral:rRNA from 1 species